GUUCUGCCUCUCCAGGCUGAUUCUGCUACCUGGUCUCAGGCUUCUAGUACUUCACCUCUUCUUCAGCACUUUGCUUCAUCGCUUGGCCCUUCUCUUUGGGGGAUGUUCAUGAUGUCAAGAUAAUGCACAAUUUUUUCUGCCUGUGUUACCUUCUUCACUUUUUCUUUAUUACACAUGUAGCUGUCUUUGGCUUUGUACUAGACACCUUUGCCUCACCUACAGAUUACCACUUUCUAGCAUCCCCUCUACCACAUUUCUUUUCUUCUUAGUACAAAUUAUUAACCUUGUGAACCAACUCUAACAUCUUGCCCUGUGCCACCUUUCCAGAUGAUAUCAACUCCUGUGACCUGGAUGGCCCACAAGUAUCUCAAACUUAAUAUGUAUCCUAUAUGUGCCUUGUCUCCAAUUGUGAUGUUGUCAGUCCGUCAAUUCUCCUUGCUUAGCCUCUUGAUUUUUCCCUUGGUGUCCACCUUGUCUCAGCUCAAACAUGUGCGUGCACACUCACACAUAGAGGAUCACCAAAUUUGAUUGAAGUUAUCACAUCUUUUCUGAUCGCUCCUUGGCCAGGGUGUCUACCCUUGUUCAGGCAUCAUCUCUUAUGGGAGGUUGUUAUGGAUAACCUUCUUGUAUGGCCUUCCCCCCACACCCUAGCCUCUGCCUGCUGUGGUGCAGUCUGUAUGAUGCCAACCAGAGUCUCUGAGUCAAAUCCCAUCAGGCCGUUACUUCAAAGCCACAGCUGGCUCUCAGUGUUUGUUCAGACUCCACACCAUGGCCUCAUAUGCAGAUUCUUCCCAGAACUCUCCUCCCACCACUUAUCCUAGGACUCCAGGCAUUCUAGCACCAGCCUUCAAAGAGGCCACACUCUUUCAUGCCUCAGGUCUUUUUUGCCUUUGUCUGUGCUAUUUCAUGUUCACUCACCUUCUGGCAAACUCAGCACUCCUUCCCAGCCCAGAUAUGAUCAUCUCUUGUGAAGCUUUUUGUUCCCCAACACACACCCCAGCCUCAUGAUGUGUGCUGUGUGCUCCAUGAUGUUGCGAACUGCCCUGGGUGGUGUUUCAUUUCUCUACUACUCUAUUUCCCAGUCAGUAGGAUGUGUUGGGCAUGCCUAGAGAACAUAGGAUUCUCCUGAGAGACUACCUCCUGCUUUCUUCUGGGGCUCUGAGCCUAGUUUGUCUGAGUGAGAAGUGUGGUUGCGUGGCUGAGUAAAAGGAUCCUGCUGACACAUUUUUUGUCCUUCUAGGUUGUUCUUUGUGGGGUCUCGUGAGGGCCAUCUUCCGGACCUUCUGUCUAUGAUCCACAUUGAGCGUUUUACACCCAUCCCUGCUUUAUUGUUCAAUGUAAGCUCUGCUGGGGGAGUAUGGGAAUUGGACACAUCUGUGUGUUACUCCUCCUGCUGACUUUAUGAGGAGACUGUUGGGUGGGAGGAAUACUAGUUUCUUGAGAUGCUUCCUGAGCUCCUUAGUGUUUCUUCCUUUUUCUUAAAAUUAUUUUAAAAUAUGAAAGUAAAACAUGGUCAUAUUAGAGAAGGCCGACACUACAAAAGCAUAGCAAAAAUGAAUUUGUAAGAUUUAUCUUUCUUUUCUCUAUGUCAGUAGCUUCUUCUCUUUCUUCUAGCUCUUUUUUUGUCUUUUUGCUGAGGAAGAUUUGCCCUGUGCUAACAUCUUUGCCAGUCUUCCUCUGUUUUGAAAGUAGGUUGCUGUCACAGCAUGGGCGCUGACGAGUGGUGUAGGUCUAUGCCCAGGAACCGAAACCUAGCUGCCAAAGCAGAGUGUGCCAAACUUAACCACUAGGCCACAGGGCUGGCACAUAGCUCUUUUUUUUUUUUUAAGAUUGGCACCUGAGCUAACAACUCCUGCCAAUCUUCUUUUUUUUUUCUGCUUUUUCUCCCCAAAUCCACCCAGUACAUAGUUGUGCAUUUUAGUUGUAGGUCCUUCUAGUUGUGGCAUGUAGGAUGCCACCUCUCUGUGGCUUGAUGAGCAGUGCCAUGUCUACGCCCAGGAUCCAAACCAGCGAAACCCUGGGCCACCAAAGCAGAGUGUGCAAACUUAACCACUUGGCCAUCGGGCCGGCCCCAGCUCUUUUUUUUUAAUUAAAUAAUUUUUAGAAAAGUCAGGUCAGUUGUACACCAACUACCCUAGGAGCUUCUAUUCAAAUCAUAGAUAUCAUAGAUUUAUAUAUAGUGAAUUGCAGUAAAAUGUUUUUAUUUUAUUUAUUUAUUUAUUUAUUUGAGAAAGAUUAGCCCUGAGCUAAAAUCUGCUGCCAAUCUUCCUCUACUUUAUAUGUGGGGCACCUGCCACAGCAUGGCUUGCCGAGUGGUGCCAUGUCCGCACCCAGGAUCCGAACCAGCGAACCCCGGGCCACCAAAGUGGAAUGGGCGCACUUAACCGCUGCACCACCAGGCUGGCCCCAGUAAAAUGUUUUAUUCCAACAAAAUCAGUAAAUUAUGAAAGUAUUCUGACAGAUGGAAAGAGUCCUGGAGAAGGACCUUCAUUUUCUAAUUUGCACUAAGGUAUUAUAUAUAUAAAGGCUAACAGGGAUCCUGAGAAAGGCCUUACUCCAGGAUUGGAAAAACAGC
rnacentral:lncRNA from 1 species